GGUUGUAUAGUGUAGUGGUGAUCACAUCGGAUUCUGACCUUCCGGGAACCCCGGUUCGAUCCCGGGUACGACCU
rnacentral:tRNA from 1 species